AUUGAACGCUGGCGGCAUGCCUUACACAUGCAAGUCGAACGGUAACAGGUCUUCGGAUGCUGUCGAGUGGCGAACGGGUGAGUAAUACAUCGGAACGUGCCUAGUAGUGGGGGAUAACUACUCGAAAGAGUGGCUAAUACCGCAUGAGAUCUACGGAUUAAAGCAGGGGAUCGCAAGACCUUGUGCUACUAGAGCGGCCGAUGGCAGAUUAGGUAGUUGGUGGGAUAAAAGCUUACCAAGCCGACGAUCUGUAGCUGGUCUGAGAGGACGAUCAGCCACACUGGGACUGAGACACGGCCCAGACUCCUACGGGAGGAAGCAGUGGGGAAGUUUGGACAAUGGGCGAAAGCCUGAUCCAGCAAUGCCGCGUGCAGGAUGAAGGCCUUCGGGUUGUAAACUGCUUUUGUACGGAACGAAAAGCCCCGGGUUAAUACCCUGGGGUCAUGACGGUACCGUAAGAAUAAGCACCGGCUAACUACGUGCCAGCAGCCGCAGUAA
rnacentral:rRNA from 1 species